AACGAACGCUGGCGGCAUGCCUAACACAUGCAAGUCGAACGAGACCUCCGGGUCUAGUGGCGCACGGGUGCGUAACGCGGGGGAACCUGCACUUAGGUUCGGAAUAACUCCCCGAAGGGGGUGCUAAUACCGGUUAAGCUCUUCGGACCAAAGAUUUAUCGCCUUUGGAUGGGCCCGCGUUGGAUUAGCUAGUUGGUAGGGUAAAAGCCUACCAAGGCGACGAUCCAUAGCUGGUCGGAUAGGAAGAUCCGCCACACUUGGACUGAGACACGGCCCAGACUCCUACGGGAGGCAGCAGUGGGGAAUAUUGGACAAUGGGCGAAAGCCUGAUCCAGCCAUGCCGCGUGAGUGAUGAAGGCCUUAGGGUUGUAAAGCUCUUUUACCCGGGAUGAUAAUGACAGUACCGGGAGAAUAAGCUCCGGCUAACUCCGUG
rnacentral:rRNA from 1 species